rnacentral:lncRNA from 1 species
GAUGUUGUAUGGCUACCCAUGCAAAUUGCCAAUAUAUUGAGAAGAAGUGGGUGAUAGAAAAUUGUUCGGCCCAGAUCUCAUAGAGGAGACUACAACCAAAAUAAUUAAGAUCAAUAAGAACAUUCAGACGGCUCAGAGUAGGCAGAAGAGUUAUGUGGAUACCUGAAGGAAGGAUUUGGAAUUUGAGAAAUGGGAUCGGGUGUUCCUGAAAGUCACUCAUUUUAAGGGAAUCAGUAGCUUUGGCAAGAGGGA